AGUGAACGCUGGCGGUAGGCCUAACACAUGCAAGUCGAACGGCAGCACAGUAAGAGCUUGCUCUUACGGGUGGCGAGUGGCGGACGGGUGAGGAAUACAUCGGAAUCUACUUUUUCGUGGGGGAUAACGUAGGGAAACUUACGCUAAUACCGCAUACGACCUACGGGUGAAAGCAGGGGAUCUUCGGACCUUGCGCGAUUGAAUGAGCCGGUGUCGGAUUAGCUAGUUGGCGGGGUAAAGGCCCACCAAGGCGACGAUCCGUAGCUGGUCUGAGAGGAUGAUCAGCCGCACUGGAACGGAGACACGGUCCAGACUCCUACGGGAGGCAGCAGUGGCGAAUAUUGGACAAUGGGCGCAAGCCUGAUCCAGCCAUACCGCGUGGGUGAAGAAGGCCUUCGGGUUGUAAAGCCCUUUUGUUGGGAAAGAAAAGCAGCAGGUUAAGACCCCGCUGUUCUGACGGUACCCAAAGAAUAAGCACCGGCUAACUUCGUG
rnacentral:rRNA from 1 species